GUCGUUCACGUGUGCCGGCGGCGUGGGCGGCGAGGACACGUGCACCGGCGACGGCGGCUCACCACUCGCCUGCCGCGACCCGCUCGACCCUGAGCGCUGGGUGCAGCUGGGCGUGGUCUCGUGGGGCGUGGGCUGCGGCGUGCCCGGCGUACCCGGCGUGUACGCGGACGUGCGCCGCCAGCUCGACUGGAUCGAGCCCUGGCUGCAUCAAGUCGAGCAGCGGCAGCAGCAGCGUGAGCAGCAGCUCCUCCAGCAGGGCCAGCAGCAGGGCCUCUGAACGGGGCCGGAAUGCCGCCUCUUCACGGACGACUGGGGCACUGUGGGCGAGCAGCAGACCAACGAACUUCAAGAAAAGGAACUGGCAGGGUCGAUGGACAACAGCCCGUCGACUGAUACCACGUCACUCAGCAUUGGAAGACUGAACGAACAACGAGGUGGACAUGUAUCAGCCCCUCACAGUAGCAUUAAUUCUUAUCGGCAAACACAGUUAAGAUGAUAGGACGGCGAGACGUUUCCUGUACUCUACGGGUUCAUUGCCAUUAUACUAUGACUAGUAAACAUCCUGAGCUGGGUGUGUUAUUCAUUUAGAUUGAGAUGGUUUGGGCAACCAACAUUGAGGCGUGGUUAAUAUCUGGUCCGCAUGACGAAAUGCCAGUUUAAACAGCCUGUUACUUCACUAUCGUGGUGCACUGGUUGAAGGAAUCCAGAUACCCAAACCGUGUCCUCAGAUUAUCAACAAUCACGGGCAUCGUCGACAUACUGCGGCCUCCCAAGCGUGUCUCGCCACAGAAACGGCCUGUCCCUGACCGAGUUUCUGCUCGUCCGUGGUCUGCUAUUCAGAAUCGGGGCUGUCUAAUCACUAAGUAAACAAAAAAUGAUGCUCCAUAAGCGCA